rnacentral:rRNA from 1 species
AACGCGAAGAACCUUACCAGGUCUUGACAUCCCGAUGAAACAUCUAGAGAUAGGUGCCCUCUUCGGAGCAUUGGAGACAGGUGGUGCAUGGUUGUCGUCAGCUCGUGUCGUGAGAUGUUGGGUUAAGUCCCGCAACGAGCGCAACCCUUGACUUUAGUUGCCAGCAUUCAGUUGGGCACUCUAGAGUGACUGCCGGUGACAAACCGGAGGAAGGUGGGGAUGACGUCAAAUCAUCAUGCCCCUUAUGACCUGGGCUACACACGUACUACAAUGGCCGGUACAACGGGAAGCGAAGCCGCGAGGUGGAGCCAAUCUUUAGAAGCCGGUCUCAGUUCGGAUUGCAGGCUGCAACUCGCCUGCAUGAAGUCGGAAUUGCUAGUAAUCGCGGAUCAGCAUGCCGCGGUGAAUACGUUCCCGGGCCUUGUACACACCGCUCGUC